CUGAAAACAGAGAGCAAACAAAGGAGUCCAACACAUGAAGCACAAACCAAUUCAGGAAGAGAAAAUAACAAUAUCAACUAAAAAACGUCAUUCGGAAUGGCCAAAACAUUGCCAAAAACACCAUUGCAGGAAUAAGACCAUCCUGCUAACAAAAAUAAACAUGGAAGAUACCUGUAGGAUAUCAUGAUGUAAAAAGAAAAAAGAAAAAAAAAAUACCAAGUAUGGCCCUCCAAUCUCUUUAAAUGGUAGCAAGAGAUGCUCCUUAAAGCCCCAAAACCAAAAGCCUAUCAUAGGUUAAUAAUCUCAUACCAAAAAAAAUUUGUAUAGAUAUAACUCAUUACUGAGUCCAAGCAAGCAUUCUUCUUUAGCCAAAUAUCUCAAAGUUACAAGUAUUUUAGUAAAACCGUAAUCAUCUCUUAUUCUUGUUUCCCAUGCAAGAAGCCUUAAAUUCACAGGCAACAAAACUCCCUUGGUGCUUAGAAAUUCUAAUGCCCCUCAAAAACACCAACUAAGUAAUUCCAUAUCAAAUAAGAAAUAAGACAACGUACAAGACUUAAGCAUGAGACAUAUGAAUUAUGUUGUUAGUCCAUUGGUUUGCAACAAGUCAUUGGUGUUUACCUUAUUGAGGCCACAACCACAUACCACAUAGAAAGCUCUAAUUUGGAAUGGAAUCUUAGUCUUCAAAAUGAUAUUUACUAAAAGAAACAGACAAACAUCAGGUAAAUGAGUAGAAAAUGUGAACAAAGACUACCAUGAAAUAUUCUAGAAUCCUCUAGAAUCCAAAGUCUCCACCAAAGUCUCCAAUUUGGGCUAAAGGGGCAAAUAAAAAAAAUUCAAACAUAUUGUUUACUAAUGUAAUGUCUGUCAUCUCCCUAUCAUUGAGAUUUUUAAAGAGUGAAAAUUUCAAGAAAUGAGUCUCCAUUUAUAUUUAAAUAAGCAAGAAAAAAUGUACUUUAAAAAGGCAAUUCCAUUAGUUGGCAUGGAUGACAUUAACCAUUGUCUCAGAAUCCCAUCAUUUAGAUAACAAAUCUCGGUUAGUUUUGAAUUAUGAGAACAUAUUUGUUAAUGCUACUGUGAAUCUUUUAAAAUAAAAAAUUAAUGAAAUCCAUAGUUUAACAUAUAUUAAUUUAAUAUACAUGCACUAAUACUCUGAACAUCCAAAUAAAUAUUAUUCUCUAGUCAUAAUUGAUUAAUACUGAUAAAAAUGUUUAAAAUGGAAAUAACAAGGUUUUAAGUUGACUAUUAAGUCUAUAUUACAA
rnacentral:misc_RNA from 1 species